rnacentral:misc_RNA from 1 species
GAUGAAGAACGUAGCGAAAUGCGAUACGUAAUGUGAAUUGCAGAAUUCAGUGAAUCAUCGAAUCUUUGAACGCAUAUUGCGCUCUCUGGUAUUCCGGAGAGCAUGCUUGUUUGAGUAUCAGUAAACACCUCAACUCCCUUUUCUUUUUUGAAAUUGGAGCUGGACUUGAGUGAUCCCAACGCUUUCUUCCAAGAAAGUGGCGGGUUGCUUGAAAUGCAGGUGCAGCUGAACUUUUCUCUGAGCUAUAAGCAUAUCUAUUUAGUCUGCCUAAAAAACAGAUUAUUACCUUUGCUGCAGCUAACAUAAAGGAGACUAGUUCUUGUGCUGACUGAUGCAGGAUUCACAGAGACAGCUUCGGCUGACUUUGUAAACUCGAUCUCAAAUCAAGUAAGACUACCCGCUGAACUUAAGCAUAUCAAUAAGCGGAGGAA